UUGGAGGGCAAGUCUGGUGCCAGCAGCCGCGGUAAUUCCAGCUCCAAUAGCGUAUAUUAAAGUUGUUGCAGUUAAAAAGCUCGUAGUUGAAUUUCGGGGUUCUUCCGUUGGUCAGGCUAACCAGUCUGUACUAGCGUGUAGAAUCUCUACCUUCUGGGGAACCAUCAUGUUAUUAAUUUAGCGUGGUGGGAAACCAGGACCUUUACCUUGAAAAAAUUAGAGUGUUCAAAGCAGGCUUACGUCUGAAUACAUUAGCAUGGAAUAAUAAAAUAGGACGGUGGUCCUGUUUUGUUGGUUUCUGAAUCACCGUAAUGAUUAAUAGGGAUAGUUGGGGGCAUUAGUAUUCAAUUGUCAGAGGUGAAAUUCUUGGAUUUAUUGAAGACUAACUUCUGCGAAAGCAUUUGCCAAGGAUGUUUUCAUUAAUCAAGAACGAAAGUUGGGGGAUCGAAGACGAUCAGAUACCGUCGUAGUCUUAACCAUAAACUAUGCCGACUAGGGAUCGGACGAUGUUAAAUUUUAUUGACUCGUUCGGCGCCUUACGGGAAAC
rnacentral:rRNA from 1 species